rnacentral:rRNA from 1 species
GAUCCUGGCUACAGAACGACGCUGGCGGCAGGCCUAACACAUGCAAGUCGAGCGAGGGUAACCCUAGCGGCGGACGGGUGAGUAACGCGUGGGAACGUACCCUUUGGUUCGGAAUAGCCCUGGGAAACUGGGAGUAAUACCGUAUAAGCUCUUCGGAGGAAAGAUUUAUCGCCAAAGGAUCGGCCCGCAUUGGAUUAGGUAGUUGGUGGGGUAAUGGCCUACCAAGCCGACGAUCCAUAGCUGGUUUGAGAGGAUGAUCAGCCACACUGGGACUGAGACACGGCCCAGACUCCUACGGGAGGCAGCAGCGGGGAAUCUUAGACAAUGGGCGCAAGCCUGAUCUAGCCAUGCCGCGUGAGCGAUGAAGGCCUUAGGGUUGUAAAGCUCUUUCAGUGGGGAAGAUAAUGACUGUACCCACAGAAGAAGCCCCGGCUAACUCCGUG